rnacentral:rRNA from 1 species
GAUGAACGCUGGCGGCGUGCCUAACACAUGCAAGUCGAACGAAGCACCUUACCUGUUUCUUCGGUGGAAAGUUUGGUGACUGAGUGGCGGACGGGUGAGUAACCCGUGUGUAACCUGCCCUGUACAUGGGGAUAACAGCGGUAAACGGCUGCUAAUACCGCAUAAGCGCACGAGGAUACAUCUCCUUGGGUGUAAAACUCCGUUGGUACAGGAUGGGACCGCGUUUGCUUGGCGGGUUGGCAGGGUAACGGCCUACCAACGCAACGAUCCGUAGCCGGGCAGAGAGGAUGAGCCGCCACACUGGAACUGAGCCACAGUAGAGACUCCUACGGAAGGGAGGAGUGCGGGAUAUUGCAACAUGGCGGAAACGAUGAUGAAGCACCGAUGCGAGAGCGAAGAAGUAUUUCAGGAAGUAAAGCUCAAUCAGCAGGGCAGAUAAUGACGGUACCUGACUAAGAAGCCCCGGCUAAAUACGUG